UACGUAGGGUGCGAGCGUUGUCCGGAAUUACUGGGCGUAAAGAGCUCGUAGGUGGUUUGUCGCGUUGUUCGUGAAAAACUCACAGCUUAACUGUGGGCGUGCGGGCGAUACGGGCAGACUGGAGUACUGCAGGGGAGACUGGAAAUUCCUGGUGUAGCGGUGGAAUGCGCAGAUAUCAGGAGGAAACACCGGUGGGCGAAAGGCGGGGUCUCUGGGGCAAGUGAA
rnacentral:rRNA from 1 species